GAUGAACGCUGGCGGCGUGCCUAAUACAUGCAAGUCGAGCGAACAGACGAGAGUGCUUGCACUCUCUGACGUUAGCGGCGGCCGGGUGAGUAACACGUGGGUAACCUACCUAUAAGACUGGGAUAACUUCGGGAAACCGGAGCUAAUACCGGAUAAUAUUUAGCUUCGCAUGAAGCAAUAGUGAAAGACGGUUCUGCUGUCACUUAUAGAUGGACCCGCGGUGUAUUAGCUAGUUGGUGAGGUAACGGCUCACCAAGGCAACGAUACAUAGCCGACCUGAGAGGGUGAUCGGCCACACUGGGACUGAGACACGGCCCAGACUCCUACGGGAGGCAGCAGUAGGGAAUCUUCCGCAAUGGACGAAAGUCUGACGGAGCAAUGCCGCGUGAGUGAAGAAGGUUUUCGGAUCGUAAAACUCUGUUGUAAGGGAAGAACAAGUACGUUAGUAACUGAACGUACCUUGACGGUACCUGACCAGAAAGCCACGGCUAACUACGUG
rnacentral:rRNA from 1 species